rnacentral:lncRNA from 1 species
CAUUGCACCAAAUAAUUUCAAGCAUUACCAUUUUGUUCUCAUUCCUCUUUUGUGAGACAGGAAUCAGAAGGCGCUUCCCAGGUGGUUCUAGCUCAAGGUGUGUCCCCAGAUGUUGUGGGGUGUUAACCACAGGGGCAGCCAUGGAAGGACUUCUCUGGUGGGUCUCCAGGGGCCUCCCCUAUGUUGGCCAGCUGAGGCUGCCAUUGGCAAGGCCUUGGGGUUCUCACUGUGGCCCUGCCCUGGGAUGCCUGGGGGUCCUCACCACUUUCCUCUGGAUUCCUCUGGAGCAGUUCUCCUCCCAGAGUGGUCAGCAGGCAGGAGUCUCAGUGUCCUGGCCUCUGCAGUCACUCACUGCCACUUUCUGGUCCUGGAUUGGUAACAGACCAGCCAUGUCCUGUGUGGGGGGAGAGUGUUGAACAGCUGGAGAUGACUCAGGAGGCAGGAUACUGGGGCAUCCUUGCUGCGUCUGCUCCUGACUGUCCCCCUGGAGGCCUCCUGCCUGGAGGAUCCUCCCAGCUUUCCAAGCAGAAGGAUUCUACAGGAAACAGUUGUCAACUGUGCUGUCCUCAGGCAUUUGACUGUCGUAAGUUAUACACCCCAGGGUACCUCCUUAUAAUUUUGAGGACAGGUUCCAUUAGCUAUCACAGACAUUCAAGUAAGAAAAGAAUGUUUUUAAAAUUCUUUCCUGUUUUCCAUCUUUGUACAAAUGAAACCUUCAUCUACUGCCACCCACUUUGCCUGGACAUUUCAUGUGGGUAUUUCCUGUCCUGUGCAAAGACCAAGGAUGUGUUCUCCAGAUUCUGUGUGAAAGAUUCCUACAUUUUCCUCAAUCUAAACAUCUCAAUUUUCUAGCUACAGAAACUUGGGUUGAAAGUUAUUUUUUAGUAUUUGAAGAUGUUUUUUGUGUUCCUUUUCUUACACUGCCUCCCUCCCACUCUCCCCUCCUGGCCCUCCUUCUCCCUCUCCUCUCUUCUUCCUAGGAUGUGUUAUUUUGCAGCAGGUCUUAUUAUUUUACCAGCAUUAUUAGUCUAUAUUAAUUAGCUCAAAUUUUUUGAGUAAUGAAUCUACUCUGAGUUGUAUUUGAGGUAAAAUAGAAGCUCUUCAUUAAUUCAUCAGCCUGUUUACAGAUUUAGUCUGUGCUCAGAACCCUCCAUCUAGGCAAAGUGCC